GCAUUGAUGGUUUUAUAUUAAAUAAAGCUACGCCCAAACAAUGUGAAACAUAGGCGUUAAUAUGCAAAACCAGCCAUGAAGGCUAUAGACUGAUUUCUGUUCGAAAAACAAGUAUUAGUGACCUUUCCAGUCUACACUGUUUAUACAAGACUGAAUGGCAUCCCACCCACAGAGCAAAUCUGCUUUCCUUUUUUCUUUCAAUUAUGAAUGCUGAGAUGGGACAAUAAACACUAGCUAGCAAGGUAAGUUAACAAACACCAUAGAAACAGACAGUGCUCCAUCCCUGAGUUUUAUCUCUUGGAAAAAAAUACUUUUUUUCACAAUCAAUCAUUCUUCUUAUUAGGACCUUCUUAUUAUUGCAAAAGGUCCUAACUUGCAAAGACAACACAUUACAGCAUGUAUUGUAUACCAAAUGAAUGACACUCCAAAGUGGAAACAAAUUAUGUCACUACAUGCCCUUUGGAAGGAUGAGUUAAGUUAUUGAAUAGGCCAUGUCCACGUAGCAGCUGCCAUUAGAUAUUUAG